rnacentral:rRNA from 1 species
UACAGAGGUCCCGAGCGUUGUUCGGAUUCACUGGGCGUAAAGGGUGCGUAGGCGGUGGGGUGAGUUUGGGGUGAAAUCUCCGGGCCCAACCCGGAAAAUGCCUUGAAUACUAUCCUGCUAGAGGAUCGGAGGGGAGACUGGAAUUCUCGGUGUAGCAGUGAAAUGCGUAGAUAUCGAGAGGAACACCAGUGGCGAAGGCGAGUCCCUGGACGAUUCCUGACGCUGAGGCACGAAAGCCAGGGGAGCAAACGGG